AACGCAUAUUGCGCUCGAGGCCUCGGCCAAGAGCAUGUCUGCCUCAGCGUCGGCUUCACCCUCGACACAAUUGGAGUCUGUCCCGACAGAUGGCCCGAUUGUUUAGUCGGAGCUGACCGUCUUGCUUCCAAUUGGGAAGCGGGUCGGUUGAAGCACAGCGGCUCCAGCAAGAUCCCGAUCGGUUUAACCGGGGGCGCUGGCUUGGUAGGUAGCCUCGGCUGCAUGCCGCCAGACAGCCUGGGAACUUGCAUGGAUGCCUGAAACCACUCUUAACCAUUCGACCUGAGCUCAGGCAAGACCACCCGCUGAACUUAA
rnacentral:misc_RNA from 1 species